UUGUAGACGUUAUCUCGCGCUGGGUACUUCAGUGUAAGGACGCAAUGGGUGUCUUUUAGGUUUUCACCUUUUAUGAGAGUCUGAUAGGAUUUGAGGUGCGGGUGGAGAGUUGUCGGGGUGGAGGGAGAAAGGGAUGGGGUGAGCAAGGGAGAGAGACGGCACGUGCGCCGCGCAGGUGCCCGAAUUGGCCGCGUCGCCCGGGACAUAGCGUGGGCUUCUGCGCGCGCCCCCGUGGGAGUGAGAGUGGGUGCGCGCCCGCGGUGGGAGCCACGGCAGUGCAGCUGCGGGUUGUGCGUGCGCGGAGCUGACAGGAGCGGUUUGCGCCUCUCCAGGCGCGUGCCCGGGUCGGGGCCGUGACCCCGGUGAGCAGUUACGCACCGGUGUGACUCAGUGACAAGUGCGCGCACCUCCAGCCUUGCAGGGUUGAAGGCAGAGCUUGGGAUGGAGGGCAGGUGAGACCCAUGAGAUGGGAGGUUCCCAGGAUUAGGGUGCAUUCUCUCAAGAGUCAGCCAGAGCCCUGCUCCCCUCAGUCGCUUUCCAGCCCCCAAAUUGCCGCCUCUCCCGCGUGUUAUAUUCCAACAUUCUCUUGUCUCUAACCCCCGUGAGUCCUUUAUAGGGAGGAUUGAGAAUGAAGGGUGAUGCGGGACCUUUGAGCUUCUGAAGCUGUCAAGAGGGUUGAACCCCGGGUCAUCGGGUUCAUACAUUAGUGAUUGACCGAGGCUUCUGCCCUGGGGGACAUAGGAGUGUCAGGCGUGGCUGGGGAGAUAAGGAUGAUGAAGCUUGAUGUGGAGGGACCAGAUGUCAGGAGCUGCAGGGACCCAGACGCUACAAGUGCUCCAAGCCAGGACACGGGGGAAAGAUCAGUACUUACUGAGCAGUUGGCAUGGACUCUGCAUUUCCAGGCAGCAUCUCAAAUUCCUCCUCUGUAAUGUGGGGGUAGUAGCAGAAUCUGCCCUAUAUUGGUGAAGAUAAAUGAGGUAAUACAGAAAGUGUUCACCAAGCAGUAAACUAUCAUAGUUUUCACCCCAUUUAGUUUUCAUAACCAGGGAUGGCUUUCCUUUGGUGACCAGGUCUAAUUUUUCUUUUUCUUUAUUUCUUUCUAUAUUUUUUACAGAUUUUAUUUUAUUUUUGUUUGACAGAGACAGCAAGAGAGAAAAUCCAAGCAGGGGGAGUAGGAAAGGGAGAAGCAGGCUUCUCACUGAGCAGGGAGCCCUGAUGCGGGGUUUGAUCACAGGACCCUGGGAUUAUGACCUGAGCCAAAGGCAGAUGCUUAACCGACUGAGCCACCCAGGUUACCCCUAAUUUUUCUUUUAAAGCGAGGAGUGGGGUGAGAGUUUGAAAACCUCAGGCAACCUACUGAUAGUCUGUAAGUCAGUUCCCAAUUUGGGCAUGGUUUUGUACCUCAGAGAACACUUGGCACUCUCUGGAGACAUUUUUGGUUGUCACAACAAGGAGGCAGGGGAAGGGUGUGACUGGUAUUUGGUAGGUAGAGGCCAAGGAUGCUUCCAAACAUAGUGUGUACGGGCUGGUGUCUCACUGUAAAGAAUUAUCUGGUUCAAAACAGCCAUGCCAAAGGUGAGAAACCUUGAUCUAAGUGGUAUUCUACUGUGAUGUACAUUGGUUUUCUCACCCAAAAACUAGUAUCUGGUUCACAGGUUCAGGUGUUUCUGUGUUGGUUUUAGUUUCCUACUUUGCAAGUUUCUUUCACUAAGUACUUGAGCAGGUCGGAACACCACCCACAUACUUUCAGCUGAGACAUUGGUAAAAAAAGGUUUACCUCAAACUGGGCAUCAGGGACAGAAAGAAGACGUGAAAACCUACCUGCCAGUUGAUGCCCUGCACCGCUUGCUUAGUUGCGUGACCUUGAAGCACAGCAGGAGGAGAGCAGCAGGCAGUGGGAGAGAGAGAAGAAAAAAAGGUGCCUGCAGUAGGGAGCCCAAGGUGGGGCUUGCAUGACCUGAGCUGAAGGGACAAGCUUAACUGACUGAGCCACCCAGGCAUCAGAGGUGGAAAACGUUACACAUUUUCCAAGGUGACUUGAGAUGAGGAUUGACUGCUAAUGGAGUAAAUAUUUUAUGACAUGACUCAAAUAGGCUUUAAGUACCUAAGAGAAAAAUGCAUAUCAAUUCUAAUGAGGACCAUUAAUUUUUAUUCAGUGUAACUUGAAAAAACUUUCUCCUGAGAACAUUGCAGUUGAAUUAAAAAAAAAAAAUUAGCUCUAUUAACUCAUGCUUUGGUUAUUCUGAAUGUAAAACAUCUCAACGUGAACCAACCAUCACCUUAAAUGACUAGAAUAGAAAUACACUUCCAUGAGGGGAGUUGUGUGUAGACACCCCACUUGGAAGACCUCUGCUAGAUAAAAGAGGUUCUAUGUACCAGGAACCUGCCAGGAGGAAGGGACCUGUUCCCAGGGCGAUCCAGGGAGUCCAGACUCCUUGGGGGAGACUCUAGGUCUCCCAAGUCACUGUAGGCCCUACUCGUUAUACGUGUACCACACAGGAGCCAGACAAAGCUUACUUCUGCCAAAUGAAAAUAUAACUUAUUAAAUGAGACUUGGAAACGUCACUUGGGAAAUGUGGGUGUAUUAAUUUGAAUCAUGUCAUAUGCAUGGGAGUUGCUGCUAGCGUAAGAUGUCAGGUUUUUUUUUUUUUUUUUUUUUUUUCCUUGAAAUCUUAUGUAACUUUGGGGAACAGUAUGCAGUUGAUAUCAUCCUACCUGGUUCACCUUUCAACAGUAGUGAAAUGGACUUUUCUGUUUUUUGAGGAAUAGGAACAUUUAUGCUCCCACACCUACAGUCACAUGAUUAUGCUUCCAAAAUUUUUUUUUAGUGAUUGAGUUCAUAAUUAAAUUUUCUCCCCAGGAGCCCAAAUGACAGUCACACUUUGUCUUAAGUCAUAACCCUUGUGUUUCCAGGGCACCUGGGUGACUCAGUCUUUUAAGUGUCUGCCUUUGGCUCAGGUCAUGAUCCCAGCGUCCUGGGAUCGAGGCCUGUGUCGGGCUCCUUGCUCAGCAGGAAGCCUGCUUCUCCCUCUCCCACUCCCUCCCUCGCUCUCAGUCAAAUAAAUAAAUAAAAUCUUAAAAAAAAAAAGCCACGCAAAACCCCGUAUUUGCAAUAGGGAUUGAUUAUAAAACGAGGGAUCAGAAGAUAAAAGCUUGUUGCCGUCCACAAAAACGUGCCUGUCAUAUUUCUUGUGGAGUCGGAGGGGUUCUUUUUAUUCUGCUCUCCAGGAAACAGCCCACAUUUUCAACAGCAGCCUUUCCUGUCCUGCAAGAGGAGGGGGAACUCUGGAGAAGUAGGCCUGCGUGUCCUAACACUGGGUGUUGUGUGUCCAACACACUCCCUUUGUUGGUGGCCCCACGGAAACUACCAGAUGCAGCCGACUCCUGCAUGAAGAAUUACACUCCUGAGCAUACAUACACCGUGGAAGACUCCUUGCUCCUCCAAGCUCACUGACCCCUGCCUAGGAAGGGGAAAUAGAGUCGUUAUUGAGGCUGUGCUGGCACCUCCGACUUAACAGAGCAGCUGGACACUGGUGGAUGCAGCAGGACUCAGGAACGGUCCACACCUGGCCGCAUUCACAGCUGAGAAAUAGGGAUUAGUAUGAGCCCCGCUGUUUUCAGUGAAUACUUUCGUAAACUGCUGCUGGGCCAACUCUACCAGCAUGUUGCAAAGACUGGUUUUAGUCCUCAGGGCUCCUGAGACAUACUUGAUCAUCAGUUGUGAUCAUCUUCUGUGUGAGAAUGGGGUGCGUUUUCCACCAUAUCUGGGUGUUUCUUCUCAUUUUGAUUAAAGGUGGGGCAUCUGAAUUUGGAGUGCCACUCAAAAGUCGGCUUGGUAUUUUACGAACAACACUCUUUUGUAUGCUGUCUUUCCAGCUGGAAAGCUAAGAGGAAUUCUACCAGCAGGUAGUUCUUCCUUAUUCCUGCCCCACAAUACGGAAUUUGCUACUGACACUCAAUUCUUGUCUCCGUGCUUCAGAAUUGAAGGAUAUUCUGUCCCCAGUCACAUUCCGUUUUGUUCCACAUUUGAGAUUCAGUACUGAGCUUGCUUCUGUAAUGAGAUAAUUUUUUGGUUCAUCUAAAAAUACGCUCGCCGAGUUAGUGACAGGGACACCAGCCUGUGUGUGACUCUUCAGUGCCCUUUGACUACCCCUACCCACCUCAGGGCCUUUGCACCUGCUGUUCCCUCUGCCCAGCCACCUAGCAGAGAUAGCCUCCAUCCAUUUCCUUCUCUACCCCUUUCGAUGUAUAGGUUCUUAAUGCUCACUGAAACCUUUUUCUUGCCUGUCUUCCCACCAGAAUGUGGGUUUCCGGGGAGUAGAGGUUUUUGCUGAUUUUGCUUGUGGCAGCUUUGUUGGUUUGCACAGUAAUCCUGGCACAGAAGUGAUGCUUAGUGACUAGAGUUGAACAAAUACUCAGCCUUUGUGCUGGGUAAUGCUGGGGACCCAGGGCUGAGCUGGGCCAAGGCCUGCCCCACUCCCUGUGUUGUGAGGGAAGGAGAUCUAGACACAGAUCAUUCCCAGUCUGGGGGCCAGAGCAGUGACAGCUGAGAUACCGGGGGCCAGGAGGGCUGAGGCAGAUAGGGGAGGAUGUGGAGGAGAGGAGAACUUGCGGUGGCUGAGGACGAGCAGGAGUGUAUCAGGUUGCAAAUCCUUCUAGCACUCACUCUUCAUCAUUCAUUUCCUGGGCCCCCCUGUGCCAGGGGCCGAGAUGAGUCAGUCCUGAACCCUGUUCUCUGCAAGCUCCUAGUCUGAUGGGGGCAGUUGAUAGGACAAUCACAAUCCAGGAUGACAGACUGUGGUGGAGGUAGAUAGGCUGUGUAAGCCUCUAGGAGCUACUUGCUGCCCGUUACAGGGAAGAGCAGCACCCAGAAUGAACAGGAGUCACGUAGGUCCCUUUCAUACAGGACGCUGGAGAUAUGAUCAGACCUGGCACAGUCUGGAAUGAUCUGGAGCCGGUCGCAUUGCAUAUUGCGUGUCCUAGCGCAGUAACCCACUGAGCUUGAUCUCAUGUAGUGCCCAUUACAGACAAGGACAUUGAGCCUUAGAGAGUCACCCAGGGGAGCAACCAGCUGGGGUCCACUGUGACCAUGGGGUUUGGAGGCAACCAGUUGGAAGAGAUGAGGCUGGAGAGGUGCACAAGGCAGGGUCUUCAUGCAGGUGGUGCACCUUGAGCAGCUGCGCUGUUCUCUCACCCUGGCCCCCCUUCCAGUGCGCAGUCAGGGAGGGUAGGUGCAGGCCCCUGCGACUGAGGUAUAUGGGGUAAAGGUAGGCUUUGCAAAAUGGGAAGAAUAACCUUCUGUUUCCUUUCUCAGAAUGGAACAGCAGAGGGGGCUCCUGUUAUUAUUUCUGGGGCUACAGCUGCUGCUAAUGGGGGCGUUACUCUACCAGAACCACCACCGCCACAGCCUUGCCCUCUUCUUGCGUGUCCUGAGACGGGACAGGCCAGUGGUGGGAGAAGAGUUGCCCUUUUUGGUCUCAGUCUCCUCUGCAGGGACCUCUUCCCAGGAUGUAUACGCCAACCUCAGCGAGAUCCACCCUGUGGACCGUAGGAAGGAGGACCUGCCCAGCUGCCCCCUCAUCUCCCCCUACAUCAAUGGCCCCUUGAGGGUGAUGAUCCCAGAGAACCUGACGAUGGAGCAGGUGGUGAAGAAGAACCCGCUGGUGGAGCUGGGAGGCCAGUACCAGCCUCCUGAUUGCUGGACACGACAUCACACGGCGGUCGUGGUGCCCUACUAUGGGCAAGACCAGCACCUGCAGCACCUGCUCUUCCACCUGCACCCCUUCCUGCAGCGCCAGCAACUGCACUACGCCAUCUACCUGGUGAACCAGGUGCACAACACUGCCUUCAACCGGGGCAAGCUGCGCAACGUGGGGUUCUGGGAGGCCAUGCAGGAGGAGGAAUGGGACUGUCUUUUCUUCCAUGAUGUGAACCUCCUCCCAGAGGAUGACCGCAACCUCUACAUCUGCGACAUCUUCCCUGCCCAUGUGUCUGUGGCCAUCGACAAGUUCGACUACAAGCUACCCUACCGUGGCUACCUUGGGGGUGUGUUUGCCCUGCGUCCCAUUCACUACCUGAAGAUCAACGGCUUCCCCAAUUCGUACCAGGGAUGGGAUCGUGAGGACCAUGACAUCGCUGCCAGGUGGGAGGCCCUGCUUAAGGAACCUAGCACGGGGCUGCAGGUCCCCCCAUGGUGUGGGAGACACAGGCCACUGUCGCCUGAAGGGCUGAGUGUGGCAUGGGUUCCCUGUCAGAGGCAGGCAUCUGGCCUCCCUGCCCUCUCCCCCUGUAAGGCUGCAACUGAGCGGGAUGUUUCUCUCCCGACCCCAUCUGCUCUUUGGCCGCUACCACAUGCUGGAGGGGCAGGACCCCAGCCACCAGCGGAGCCCCCAGAGGUUCUCUUCAUGUGGCUCUAAGUGCUGACCACACACCCACCGGCUCAUGAAAACCUGCGGUGCAGGCACUGUUAGCAUCAUUCUUUAGAAACCCAGGGCAGAGGAGCUAAACACUUGUGUGACUGACAUUUGAUCAAAUUUGGGUACCUGGCUCCUAGGCCCAUGCCCCAGAAGAGCAGGCAGCCUGGCUGCUGUCCUGUAGCAACAAAAGCGGCAAGAACAAAUGAAUAGUAAAACCUGUGAGGACGGUCCAGCCACUGAACAGACGCACGGCAGCAGGGAGAACUGAGGUGCCCACGUUCGUGUGUGGUGUGAUCCGGUGCUUCUAGAGGACAGAGUUCCCACCCGGGUACAGGAUUAUCAGCGCAGGCCUUCCCACACUGAGAACAUACAUAAGGCUUCUCUCCCGUGUGAAUCCGCUGAUGCACUUGGAGCUGUGGUUUCCGGCCGAAGGAUUUCCCACAGUCAUAGCAUUCAUAAGGCUUCUCCCCAACAUGCGUUCUCUGAUGUGCCACCAACUCAGAUUUCUGGAGAAAGGCAUUCCCACAUUUGUAACAGGCGAAGGUUUUCUCUCUGGUGUGCGUCAUCUGGUGUUUGUGGAAAUUUGAUCUGCCAUUGAAGGCCUUCCCACAUUCGGUGCACACAUAGGGUUUCUCUCCAGUGUGAAUCCGCUGAUGCUCCUUGAACUGUGACUUGGAAGUGAAGGCUUUCCCACAGUCGCCACAUUUGUAAGGCUUCUCCCCGGUGUGAGUUCUCUGAUGCAUGCUGAGUAUGGACUUCUGGUUGAAGGCUUUCCCACAGUCGCCGCAUACGUGUUGUCUUUCUCCGGUGUGAAUUUUCUGGUGGAUGUUGAGGUGUGAUUUUUGGGUGAAGGCUUUUCCACAGUUACCACAUUCAUAAGGCUUCUCCCCGGUAUGAAUUCGGUGAUGGAUAUCAAGCUGUGACUUGGAAAUGAAGGCUUUCCCACAAUUGUGGCACGGGUAAGGUUUCUCUCCGGUGUGCCCUCUCUGAUGCACGGUCAAGUGCGCCUUCUGGACGAAGGCCUGUCCGCACUCAAUGCACACAUAGGACUUCUCCCCCGAGUGGAUUCUCUGGUGCAAGCUGAGCGUUGACUUCUGGGUGAAGGCCUUCCCGCAUUCACCACAUGUGUACUGGCGCUCACCCGUAUGAAUCUUCUGAUGGAUGGCGAGGGUUGAAUUCUGGGAGAAGCCUUUCCCACAUUCACUGCAUUCAUAGAGUUUCCCACUAGUGUGAGUCCUCUGGUGUCUGAAAAGAGAUAAUGUCUGGAAAAAGGCUUUCCCACAUUCAUGGCAUUUAUGGGACUUCCUUCUCGUGUGAGUUUUCUGGUGUGUCAUCAGUUCUGCUCUCUGAACGAAGACCUUCCCACACUCCUUGCAGAUGUUAGCUGUGUGAGCUGUCGGAUACACACCCAGCUUUGGUUGUAGGGUGAAGCCCUUGGUACAUCUGCUGCACUCCUGGAGGUUUUCUACACUAUGGAAUCUCUGCUGCUCAAGGGGCGGCUUCUGGGGGAAGCCCCUGCCACACUCAGCGCAUUUAUGGAGUCUCUCCUGAUUACGAAUUUGGUGCUGCGUGCGUGACUGUUUAUGGCUGAGGACUUUCGGACGUUGAUUCCCUUCGCAGUUCUCUCCUGGAUGAAUGUGCUUGUAGCUGGCCCGGGAAGAGCUACGGGUGAACAGCCGGCCAGAGCCAGCCAGCUCACCGAGGUGUUCUGUGCUGUUGCUUUGAGUCUGAUGAUUCACGUCUGGAUUAGGCUUCAAACUCUUGGCAACUGAGCAGUGUUUAGGAGGUCUGCUUUGUGAACAAACAAGGUGAGGCCUCACAUGAAUGAUUCUUCCUGGGUCCUUCCGCUCCCAGUCUCUCUCUCUAUCCAGUGUCUUCCUGUCAAGGAAGGCCCCAUGCCAUGCAGGUUCAUCUUGCUUCUGCCGACGCCUCGCUGCACGGCCACUGUGUCCCCACAGGUCUUCUGAAAUGGAACACCACGUACCACCUCUUGUGACUUCACUUUCCUUACCGUUGUGAAAUGAAGCCUUUUCAAAUAUUUUCUGUUGGGAGGUUUUAAGUCCCAAUGCCCCUUCUAGAAGAAGAGGAAGAAGAUGAAAGGAACACGAGUUAGGACAGGAUGGAGGAGAAACCAUAGGAGUGGACUGAGGGCGAACAUGAAUUGCUGAGUCACGGUAGUAACGAUGAUGGGAGGGCGGCGCCGCGCAGGAGACACCCACCCUGCCUUCGCUUCAUGUCGCCUGUCUGCGUACAGCACAGAGCACGUGUGCAACAGCGCUCUGCGUCGCGCGGAAACUCUUCAAUCCUCACAACCCUGCAUGCGUAACUGCGCUUACUCUCCAUUUCAUAGAACAGGAGGCGGCAAAGAGUCUCUAAGUAACUGACCAAAAUCACCUCCCGGAGCUCUGGGGAAAAUUAGAACAAAAGACAAGCCAGCUCCACCUAAUGCAGGCCUGCAGUCUAGAAACCCGGAGACACCAACACCUACGAUGACAGAAAAUACAGACAGGGGUGUGACACGUGGGAAGAGCCAAGGCUUGAAAAGGAGGGGCUCUGAGGGCAGCUCUUCAUCAGCUUUCAGAUCUAAACUGUCACUAACCCACCAGUUUCCUCUCACUUGUUAGAAACGAUAACAAACCCAGCUGCCCUGUUAAUCCUCUGGAGAAGUAAGAAAGCUCCAAUCCUGACACUGCCAGGCAGGGAAAGGACACCUGUGCCCAGACUCAACUCUCCAGGAAGCUGAAAUUUGUUUGCUUGAACCGAUAAACUUAUGACCCAAUGAAUCCAUUGUACUUUUUUUGGAAGAGUGGACAAGGGGUGGCUCAGUGGGUAAAGCCUCUGCCUUUGGCUUAGGUCAUGGUCUCAGGGUCCUGGGAUCAAGCCCCACAUCAGGCUCUCUGCUCAGCAGGAAGCCUACUUCUCCCUCUUCCUCUGCCUGCCUCUCUGCCUACUUCUGCAUGGUCAAAUAAAUAAAUAAAAUCUUAAAGAAGUUGACAAUUAA